UAGCUAGGAAGCCGCUGGUACGAGCGGGGAUACUGGACAGUUUGUGCGUGCUUUUCUCCACGCACAAAGCCUACGUCCAACUUUGCUAACUUAGUUGGCUCGCGCCCAGCCGACCCCCGAAGCACAGUCACGGUGAAAACGUUUUGAUACCAGAAAAUCAUUUCCACGGCAGUACAAGUGUUCGAAAGCACAAAGGCAGACACUGUCGACCCGCGCGCUAGCUAGGAAGUUGCGGUACUCGGGGCGGCGGCGCGGAGCACGCGUCCAGUUCCCAGGUGAUGGCCAUGGGGCUGGCUCUUGAAUCCACAUUGAGUGGGAUGCUCCAAGGAACAUCAACAUUCAAGAGUGGCGUGAGAAGAAACCCAAAAGGCUAAGCCCAUGGAUUCUGAGAAGGAGGAAGAGUCUCAAGAGAAGAUGGUGUCUUGAAGUCUGCAGACACGAAGGAGGCUUUUUGUCUUCUGGUUCCAAAGGUUGAAACUUCACACCAAAGAGCAGGAGCAGGUGCUGGACUGGAUCUGUAAUUCAGCUUCUGCAGCUCCUUAUCUUGCUAAGAUCUCCUCUGCUCCCUUUCAAGCCUCUGACGAGGGCAGCCUGGUGAACAUUUGGGAGAAGAGGAGAAUCAACACCCAGUGAAGAACUUGUUCUGAACAUGUUGCAUUUCCACCCUCCCUGAUGGUUUCAGCAGGGGUUCUCUGGAGCGCACAAUCCCAUAAACAGCAGCAUCUCCAGAGGCUGAAGAUUCUGCCCUCUCCAUCCUGUGCAAGGAGAUUGGUUAAGGAAACUGUGACGUUUUCCCAGUGCAGAUGACAGUGUUUCUGAGAAAAUGAUUGUUGUGGAUCUCUUUGGGACGCUUUAACCAAGGCGUUCACAACCCAUUGCUUGUGGCUAAGUUGGGCUUGAAAAUACCACAAUCUGUUGGGGAGGAAAAGCCUCAUGUCUCUAGGUUUUAGGGGGCAAUCUAUAGCAUCAUAACUCAAUCUUAACACAGUUCAAUCUAGCCAGAGAGAUGACGUCUUUGCCUAACACCCAGAAGGACAGAUCAAGUGAAGGAAGUUCAUCCAAGACGCUCCUGUUCUGUGCAUGAAAACACAAGUCUACGUCUUUUCCAUUUGGCCAUUUCCAGUUUUCUUUGAGCACAGGAGUUUGUUUAUUUGAUUGUUUUAUAUUCGGGCAGCUAGGGACUGAGAUAUUUCUUUUCUGUUUGUUUCUCCAACUCUUUUUACAAUUUAACAAGUCAAAUACAAAACUCAGGGGAGUUAAUAAGCCUCGUGAUGGGGCGGCGAGUAGCAUCCAUAUUGAUUGGAAACACUGCUUUGGAAGGCGGUGGGAGAGCCCCAAACCAAACUUUCAGAUGCCUGAAGCUUUGAGCUUUCCAAUUAGGCUGAAAGUUUCCCUUGAUAACCAGUAGUGCUGAAGCUUUUAAUAUUGUUUAGCUCUAUGUGUUCUCAGCAACAUUUUCAAGUUAGGAAGGCCAGCAGAUCCCUUGAUGUCAGCAAGGUAGCGAUCCAACCCCCUUACACACUUUCUGAUCCAAUAUGCUCUCUGGAAAAAAAAAAAAAAGUCUUCAGCUUAACGUAAACUGAUCAUAAUUGGGAGCAAUUCUUCUUUCCCUUCUUCAAUGCUAUCUCCUCCUGUGCAGCCUAUUUUGCAUCCAAAGAUACAUUUGAAAGUCGAAAUCCCUUAGAGCUAAAUAUUCUAAACUGACAGAAGAAUUUCUAGUGGCACACCAGCCUGGAGCGAUGUUUUUAUGAGGACAUCACUUUCUAUUUCCAAGCUUCAGUAUGCACUCUUGCUUCCUUUUUCCUGGGAGCCAUGCCACAUCAACUUGCCUCCCUCUCAGCUUUUAAUGUUUUUUUAAUGGAGUCCAGUUUUGCACCUAAGUUAUGGCUAGCUUUCUGACAAACCAUCAGACACCUAAGUAACCAGAAUGGAGGUAUCCAGAUGCCACAUGGGGAGAAAGCCAAUGGUAAACUUUUCCUUCCUUUGAACAAACCGUGUUAUAAUAAUGCCUUUUUGCCUUUUUUUUUUUAAACCUGGCCUCUGGGUUUGCCAUAAAGCCUAAAAGGGGCUUAAGAAAAACAUUUUAAAAAUUAAUAUGUGAUCUGAAGUCUUUUCUUGUAAGCCACAAGCUAAAGUAAUCAUCUCUCAAUCUGGCUGGUGUGGCGAGUGUGCUGCCUGAAUGGUGAAAUAGCAGUACUGCUGCAUUUUUCUCCUCGAGCAUAAAAUUGCUUGUGGAGCAUUGAAGUCAGUUAUCCAGUGAAAUAAAGCGAGCACGCUUUGCAGGUAGAUGAUUGUUUAGAGGAACUUAAGAAAAUAAUUGUGAAUUGUGCAAUGAAUGAUCAUUGCUGACGCCAACUCAUCAGGGAAUGUGGCAUUUCUGUGAUAAAGAAGAAAUAAGGGUUCUUGAAAAUUGGCAGUUUGGGAUGGUCUUAUCUACGGAACUUGGAAGACAAAUGCAGAACAUUCGGAAAUUAAAUAUGCCCUCAGCUGAGAAAUAAUGCUCAGGGUUGGUCUGCUGGCAAGUGAAAGGUGAGUGUUCUCUCUGUGCCCGGGCUUUAAGAUUUCUGCUCGGAAUCAUGUGGGUGUUCCGGCUGUGAGGGUCUAGAAUCUAUGCAACAAUAUGAGUAAAUGUCGUGCCUAAGAAACAGGCAGAAUAUAGCUUCCUAGAUUCACACCAACCGAGUCUUUCUCAGGAUUCAGAUUUCAGCUGAAUAUGUUUCCCUCCCCUGUGAAGCCUUCCUAUCCAUGUUAGCUCACUCUGUAUUGUCAUCUUUCUUUAUUUUACUAAUCAUUUUCUGGAAUUAUUGUCUUUAUUUGUUUGCUGGUUUGUUAAAGCCUCUGCCUGGUUGAAAAUCAGUUCCCAGAGAGCAGGAUGUUAUAUCUCCUUCACCACUGAUUCCUAGCCCCUAGAAGCAGUGCCUGGCAUUUUGUACAUCUUCAAUAGUAAAUAAGUAAGGGAGUUCCCUUAGUGGUUCAGUAGGUUAAGAACCUGACUAGUAACCACGAGGAUGUGGGUUCAAUCCCUGGCCUCAUUCAGUGGGUUAAGGAUCCAGUGUAGGUGUAGGUCUCAGAUGCAGCUCAGAUCUGGCAUUGCUGUGGCUGUGGUGUAGGCUGGCAGCUGUAGCUCCGAUUUGACCCCUAGCCUGGGAACUUCCAUAUGCUGAAGGUGUUGCCUUAAAAAGUAAAUAAACAUAAAAAUAAGCAUCAUUAGAAAAUAAGUAAGUUAAGUAAUGAAUGAAUGAAAACAGAAUUCUAACUACAAUAUAGCUCUGAAGAGAGUUACACAACGUUGAAUGGCUCAUAAGAUGGAUAUAAGAUAUGGAUGUACAUGGCGUCUAAAAUGUAGUCAAAUGAGGUCAGGAAUUAUCUUUAUACUAAAAAAAAAAAAAUCUCCAUAGCAUCAGGCACAGCAUCUGAUAUUUCACUGCUGAAGGUGGGUUAACGGUGAGGUCUGGGGAGAUGCCUGGGUGUUACAUUCACUACAGGCGGUGAUAAGGAAAUGUGCUGGCGGGAGGGAGCACCUCUGGGGAGAAGAUCCCCAAAUACCAAGUUACCUGGAUUGAUGGGACCAUCUUCUCCAGUGUGGGAACUCCUUGAACCAAGCUUGAAAUUCCUCGCGCAAAGACUUUCCCUUUGGACCACGGAGAGAAAAUAUUUUAGCAAUGGAUUCAUAUCUGGGGUACUUUCUUUUAAACCAGUCCUUGCUGGCUUUUACACUGGUAAAAACUGUUCUUGCCAAAAAAAUCAGUUGGGCUGAUGGAGUCUGAGAUUCGUUAGAAAGAUUAGUAACUUAAAGCAAAGUACUUCUUUGAAUUUGAUGUAUUUUACAGGAAGGGACCUAGUUUGAUGUUGCCCAGCUUAACUUUUCAUCCAAAUUCCCCUGGAGGAGUGUUUUUUAAUCUGAUGUAUUUUUAUCCCUGUCUUCUGAAGUGGCAUUUUUUUUUUUUUUUUUUCCUAACAGGAGGAUAGAGUAACGUGGAAAGCAGCUUUUAUUCACUACAAGGACAACUAAUGCACAUGCAACCAAGGGCAGAGUUAGUCUCUAGGUGCAUAUAUUAGCCUAAGGGUAUUGUGGGUCCCUGUGUCUUAGAAAACUCUAAAAAUAAUUACCCUGUGAUUAGUAUCUGAUGCCAAUGGUAUAUUUUCACUUUAAGAGUCUGAGGUCUUUAUUUCCUUGAGACAAUGAAUGAACUUCUUUUCACCUUGUUCUUGGCUACUUUGCUUCCGCUCUCUUAACAUAGACACAUACCCAGGCAUGUGCAGGGGCAGACUGCCCCCUGCCAAUGGUGGAUUUUCUAAUAAAAUGCUUUCUCUUCAUGUUAUUAGUCUAGUCAAAUUAGAAAUACUUACUAAUUCCCUUUUUAUAUCUUUAAGGUGUAUAUUCUCUACCAGGUGGUAUAUCAACAGGAAAAAGAAAUUAACAUUUUCUUCCAGAUUCUAUCUAAUGUUUCUGUCUGUAAGUUUCCCGAAAUGUGGGAAACAGAGACACAGUAGUGCUCUUUCCAGCUCAAGCUCAUUAAUAAAAUUUUGGUCAUGUUCAAAGACUUUUUAAAAAUGAGUCCAGGGGCAAUUUUAUGCCCAGCCUUUAAUCACUAACCACUGCCUCUCUCAUCAUUUGGGCGAUUCUAAGAGGAUGGUGGCUAAUGCAUGGAUGAUGGCGAUGACUGCCUUGUAAACCACAUAUGGAGAAGCCAUCAUCAAUGGCUUUGAUGUCCCAAAGCCAUGGCCCACCAAUCCGAUGUCAGGGUGAUGGAUUAGGAAUUGUCGGGCUCUCCUUAUUGGUUUUUCAAAAAUAAGGAGCUAAUGAAAUCUGGUUCUAAGGAGGGACAUAUAUGUUAACAGACUAUUUGGGGAGAAAAAUUAAUGUAAGUGCCCCAUCGUUGGAUUCAUUUGAAGUUUGUUUUCUAAAAGGGAGACAUGGGCUUCUUUGGUGGCCUGGCGGUUAAGGUUCUGGAGUGGCCACUGCUGUGGUGCAGGUUCAGUCCCUGGCCUGGGAACCUCUGCAUGUGAGGGUGCAGCCAAUGAAAUAAAAUAAUAAAAUAAAAUAAAAUAAAAUAAAAUAAAAUAAAAUAAAAUAAAAUAAAAUAAAAUAAAAGAGACUUACAGUAAAAGGAGGGUAUGCUUGUGAAGCCGCAGGAUCAGUAGCUAAAGUUCUUGGAAGGUAAGGUAUGACCUUCUUAGAAUUUGUCAUUGAAGUGUUUCCUUAUGUUUCCCCUGGGGGAAAAAAAAAAAGGUGAGAGAAGACUUGGGAGGAGGGAGAAGAGAGGAAGAGGAAUGGAGAUAGGAACACGGCCAAACUAGAGACCCAUCUGUAACAGAGGAGGAAAGGGUUCCUUUAAGAAGCUUGCCUGUAAUAUUUAACUGGUGCCUUCAUAUAACAUCUUGACUUAAUAAAGAGACUAGCAAAGGAAAAGAAAAGAAAAA
rnacentral:lncRNA from 1 species